UUGGGCGUAAGAGCUCGUAGGCGGUUUGUCGCGUCUGCUGUGAAAUCCGGAGCUCAACCUCCGGCCUGCAGUGGGUACGGGCAGACUAGAGUGCGGUAGGGGAGAUUGGAAUUCCUGGUGUAGCGGUGGAAUGCGCAGAUAUCAGGAGGAACACCGAUGGCGAAGGCAGAUCUCUGGGCCGUAACUGACGCUGAGGAGCGAAAGGGUGGGGAGCAAACAGGCUUAGAUACCCUGGUAGUCCACCCCGUAAACGUUGGGAACUAGUUGUGGGGUCCAUUCCACGGAUUCCGUGACGCAGCUAACGCAUUAAGUUCCCCGCCUGGGGAGUACGGCCGCAAGGCUAAAACUCAAAGGAAUUGACGGGGACCCGCACAAGCGGCGGAGCAUGCGGAUUAAUUCGAUGCAACGCGAAGAACCUUACCAAGGCUUGACAUAUACGAGAACGGGCCAGAAAUGGUCAACUCUUUGGACACUCGUAAACAGGUGGUGCAUGGUUGUCGUCAGCUCGUGUCGUGAGAUGUUGGGUUAAGUCCCGCAACGAGCGCAACCCUCGUUCUAUGUUGCCAGCACGUAAUGGUGGGAACUCAUGGGAUACUGCCGGGGUCAACUCGGAGGAAGGUGGGGAUGACGUCAAAUCAUCAUGCCCCUUAUGUCUUGGGCUUCACGCAUGCUACAAUGGCCGGUACAAAGGGCUGCAAUACCGCGAGGUGGAGCGAAUCCCAAAAAGCCGGUCCCAGUUCGGAUUGAGGUCUGCAACUCGACCUCAUGAAGUCGGAGUCGCUAGUAAUCGCAGAUCAGCAACGCUGCGGUGAAUACGUUCCCGGGUCUUGUACACACCGCCCGUCAAGUCAUGAAAGUCGGUAACACCUGAAGCCGGUGGCCUAACCCUUGUGGAGGGAGCCGUCGAAGGUGGGAUCGGUAAUUAGGACUAAGUC
rnacentral:rRNA from 1 species